rnacentral:lncRNA from 1 species
UAAAAUUAUACUGUGUUCAGAACAAUGUGGGCUUUUAUGCGUCAUGCUUAAGCUUCAAUCCAAAUAUGCUUCUGGAGUAUAGUUACACCAGAAAAACAAGGAAUGUAAAAAUAACGCCUCAUGAGUCAAUGUGUUUUCUGCCUAAAAUAGUUUUUUUUUUUUUUUUUUGAGAUGGAGUUGCGUUCUGUCGCCCAGGCUGGAGUGCAGGGGCGCGAUCUCGGCUCACUGCACUCCGCCUCCCGGGUUCAAGCGAUUCUCCCACCUCAGCCUCCCGACCAAAACAGAUUCUUAAUAUGGCUGGCCCUGCACAGCCCAGAUCACCUUGGGAAAAUAGCCUGAAAUUGACUUUACAUCAUGCAGAUUCAAGACUAUCUGGCUCUGUAUUAAGUCAUGGACAAAAAAAAAAAAAAAAAAAAAAUGGCCAAUUGAUGGGGCAGAGGGAAAGGGGGAAGGAGGAAGAGAGAGGAAUGAGUGUAAGACUGGCAAUUUAUUUGAAGAAGGAAGAAAAGAAGAUAAAAUGAACACUCUUCAGAAGGUUUUCAAUGACCAGAGUUAAUUUUCUUUAAUUUUCACACACUGAUCAAAUCAAGGGAACUGUAAUCAGUCUCUUUUUCCCCAUUCCCUCCUCUGGCUUGAUCUGAACAUGGAAAAUCAGUCAGCCUUCUUCUUUAUUAUUUUUUAUUUUAUUUUAUUUUAUUUUUUGAGACGGAGUCUCCCUCUGUUGCCCAGGCUGGAGUGCAGUGAUGUGAUCUCAGCUCACUGCAACCUUCGCCUCCCAGAUCCAAGCGAUUCUCUUGCCUCAGCCUCCUGAGUAGCUGACACUACAGGUAUGAGCCACCGUGCCCGGCCAGUCCAUUCUUUUCUAAGCUCUGUGCACCAGGCUGGCAACACUUGUUUAAAAACCCAUUCUAUACUUCUCUGUUUUAACUUUUAACCCUCUCCCUGGGACAUGUGAAGAGGAAAAGUGAGCCCCAACACAUAAGAAUGAAGAGGAGAAGAAUGUGGGCUGCAUUUCCCAUGGGACACUGGAAAUGCUGGCUUCAUGGAGACAAGAUUCUUUUUCAGAAUCCCUACACAAAUUGCUGGAAAGAACUUCCAAGGAGGCAUGGCUAAAAAGAGACACCUGUGUCACAUGAGGAGAGAUGCCAUCUCUAGACUGGACUUUGUCCUUGACUGACACAAGGGCAAGCCUGAGCUCAUAAACGGCUUCUCCAUCUCCAUGAGCUGUCAGCACAAAGGUUGAGAAGGAUUGCAGCAAUGCAAUGGGCACACCAGCAGGCUCUUGAAGGCACUGCCAUACUGCACAGCUUCCACAGGCCUGGAGCCUGAAUCCUCUGAGACACAUCGUCCCUGAAAUUGAAAGAUUGGCACUUCACCCACACCUGAGACGGGAAACAUCAUCUCUUCCUAGGAGGACCUGUGUGACCCCGCCUGCAUGAAAGGUACAUCAAGAGGGAAGAACCAAACUACCAGAGCUUAUCAUUGCUCUUCUGUGAGAGGGAAACUUUUGCAGGGCUGCUCAAAGGCUGGUAAAAAGCCUUGCUUUAAUGCCCAAGGCUUUGAUGGCAUCGCCCUUGUUCCCACCCAGGUUUGCUCACUCGGUCUGCAGUGGCAGGCCCACACUCGGCAUUCCCCGGAGUCCUCCAGUGCCUGCGUGCACUUUCUCUUCUUGGUUGGAGGCAAUGAGGCUCUAAAAUCAAGACACCAAAACGAAGGUUAGGAUUCUUCCUUGUGUUCCAUGUUAUGUUAAAUAAAAUUUAAUCUCCCAGGCUCUCUGCUUUCCUAAGUCUAAUUCCAAUUAGUUAAGGUUCCUUGAGCCCUACUAGGCUGAAACUAUUUCCCUUGAUCAAGUGGAUCUGAGAUUCACCAACCUGAAAGAUAAGCUGACAAUGUUUAUAAUGGCAGAGGACUCAUUGAGACAGGGAAGAUACAGACUUAAAAUAUAGGUAUACAUUUUACACCCGACAACUUUUUUCAUGUGGAGUUUUACCACAAUUUUUGAUAGCCUUUACUCUUUCUGGCACUCUCUAGAUCCAGAAGAGGAAAUAAAAGAAAGAAAAGGGGAGAAGACAGAAGAAAAGAACAUUAGUUAAUGCUUAAUUAGCAGAUAUUUCUCGGAGAGCUCAUUCACAAUCCCUUUGGGUAGUCUAGCUGAGGCUGCAUAAGCUUACGGUGUUUCCUCCAUCAUCCAGAACCUCACUGUAUAUUUCUGACAUUUUAGCUUUUGGUUGAAUGAGGACCUUGGAUUUGGAGGGUUUUUAAUUAAAAGAUUGUCUAAGCCAAGAACACUGGGACCUCGCGAUGUCCUAUACGCGUCUCAACACUGCCAUCUCCUGGACAGGAC